rnacentral:rRNA from 1 species
CGCGUAGGCGGUUUGUACAGUCAGAUGUGAAAUUCCUGGGCUUAACCUGGGGGCUGCAUUUGAUACGUGCAGGCUUGAGUGUGGAAGAGGGUCGUGGAAUUCCCAGUGUAGAGGUGAAAUUCGUAGAUAUUGGGAAGAACACCGGUGGCGAAGGCGGCGACCUGGUCCAUAACUGACGCUGAGGCGCGAAAGCGUGGGGAGCAAACAGGAUUAGAUACCCUGGUAGUCCACGCUGUAAACGAUGUGUGCUGGAUGUUGGGUAACCUAGUUACUCAGCGUCGUAGCUAACGCGAUAAGCACACCGCCUGGGGAGUACGGCCGCAAGGUUGAA